rnacentral:lncRNA from 1 species
GCCCAUACGAGAAAAACUCUUGAGUGCUCUCAAAAGUGCUAACCAGCCAACUUUAGCUCUAGAGGUACCAUCUCCCAAUGUUUGAUGACAAAUGAGACUUCAGCUAUUAUAUGUGUAGAGCCAUCAUUUUGGACAGGGGAUGCUAAGCCCAUAGUCGGCAGUGGAGGAGCCGUGGAUCUCACUCCAUUAAAAAGUAGUCUGCUUUGAUCACGUAGGCCACACGGUUUUGCCCCUCGGCCCAAAAGAUGUAUUCUGAGAGAAAGAUGGACUCCAAUCCUAUAUAAGACGGUGGGUGUAUCUUUGAUUCACAGUUGAUGUGAGACUAAAAUCCCCCCCUCAAUAAUAGUCUCUCCCACUCGGGAGGACACCGUAUAUCGAAGAGAUCUGCAUGGACCAUCAGUGUAGAGUCAUUAUUGUGGACAGAGGAUGUUAAGCUCAUA